rnacentral:rRNA from 1 species
GAUGAACGCUGGCGGCGUGCCUAAUACAUGCAAGUCGAGCGAACAGACGAGGAGCUUGCUCCUCUGACGUUAGCGGCGGACGGGAGAGUAACACGUGGAUAACCUACCUAUAAGACUGGGAUAACUUCGGGAAACCGGAGCUAAUACCGGAUAAUAUAUUGAACCGCAUGGUUCAAUAGUGAAAGACGGUUUUGCUGUAACUUAUAGAUGGAUCCGCGCCGCAUUAGCGAGUUGGUAAGGUAACGGCUUACCAAGGCAACGAUGCGUAGCCGACCUGAGAGGGUGAUGGGCCACACUGGAACUGAGACACCGUCCAGACUCCUACGGGAGGCAGCAGUAGGGAAUCUUCCGCAAUGGGGGAAAGCUUGACGGAGCAACGCCGCGUGAGUGAUGAAGGUCUUCGGAUCGUAAAACUCUGUUAUUAGUGAAGAACAAAUGUGUAAGUAACUAUGCACGUCUUGACGGUACCUGAUCAGAAAGCCACGGCUAACUACGUG